rnacentral:rRNA from 1 species
GAGUUUGAUCGUGGCUCAGGAUAAACGCUGGCGGCGCACAUAAGACAUGCAAGUCGAACGGACUUAACCAUUAGUUUACUAUUGGAGCGGUUAGUGGCGGACUGGUGAGUAACACGUAAGCAACCUGCCUGUUAGAGGGGAACAACAGUUAGAAAUGACUGCUAAUACCGCAUAUGCCUUGAGUAUCGCAUGGUACAAGAGGGAAAGGAGCAAUCCGCUAACAGAUGGGCUUGCGUCUGAUUAGCUAGUUGGUGGGUAACGGCCUACCAAGGCGACGAUCAGUAGCCGGACUGAGAGGUU